rnacentral:rRNA from 1 species
UGGGGAAUAUUGCGCAAUGGGGGAAACCCUGACGCAGCGACGCCGCGUGGAGGAUGAAGGUCUUCGGGUUGUAAACUCCUUUUCUUGGGGACAAUGAUGAUGGUACCUGAGGAAUAAGCCACGGCUAACUCUGUGCCAGCAGCCGCGGUAAGACAGAGGUGGCGAGCGUUGUUCGGAAUUACUGGGCUUAAAGGGCGAGUAGGCGGUGGAGCAAGUCUGAUGUGGAAUCUUAGGGCUUAACCCUAAAACUGCAUUAGAAACUGUUUUACUUGAGUCAGUGAGGGGAGGGCGGAAUUCCUGGUGUAGCGGUGAAAUGCGUAGAUAUCAGGAGGAAGGCCUGUGGCGAAGGCGGCCCUCUGGCACUGGACUGACGCUGAGGCGCGAAAGCGUGGGGAGCAAA